rnacentral:misc_RNA from 1 species
GUAGGUGAACCUGCGGAAGGAUCAUUCAUAAUUGAAUUUUCAGUCUGAAUUCAUUCUGCUGAUAUUCAUGUUGUUUAAUCAACAAAAACGGUGCAUUUGUUAUAGUUGAGGAAAGGUUUGAAAUGAAAUUAACUUUUUGUUUCUGGAAAAUAAUGUUCUUGCCGAAGAUAUUAUCCUUGUCCUUGAUUGUUGAGUUGGGUUUGAAAUAUAUUGUAGGAGGGAAAAGUUUUUAACUGAACCAAAUUGAUGU